rnacentral:rRNA from 1 species
AUCUCUGUAGAGUCUGCAUAUCAAUAAGCGGAGGAAAAGAAACUAACAAGGAUUCCCCUAGUAACGGCGAGUGAAGCGGGAAGAGCUCAAAUUUGAAAUCUUCAAGGUUCUACCUUGACGAAUUGUAGUUUAAAGAAGUGUUUUCGGUUAGAGGAGUAGUAAAAGUUCUUUGGAAUAGGACAUCAUAGAGGGUGAGAAUCCCGUAUUUGACUAUUCUUUCUAGCUUUGUGAUACACUUUCAAAGAGUCGGAUUGUUUGGGAAUGCAGUCCAAAAUGGGUGGUAAAUUUCAUCUAAAGCUAAAUAUUGGCGAGAGACCGAUAGCGAACAAGUACCGUGAGGGAAAGAUGAAAAGAACUUUGAAAAGAGAGUUAAACAGUACGUGAAAUUGUCAAAAGGGAAGCGUUUGACACCAGUGUUGUUUUUCCGAAAAUCAAUUAAAAAUUGAUUCAUGCCAGGUUGUAUUGACCUUAUCAGCUUGCAAUUUGGUUUUGGGUCUCUUUUUGAUGCACUUUUCGGUUAACAAGUCAACAUCAAUUUCCUUUGCGGUAAAAAGGUAAGAGGAAGGUGGCUUCAAUUUCGGUUGAAGUGUUUAUAGCCUUUUAUCUCUGCAGUCGGGGAGAUUGAGGUCUGCAGCGUAGAUCCUUCGGGGCUAGAUACAUUUAUGCUAAGUUAUAGCUUUUCAUAGACAACUUGUUGACUAUGUUUAGUCAUGUAGCUUACUCGUAAGUGCUAUUUUACCUACGCUUAGGAUGUUGAGCGCAUGUCUCUCUCU